CGGCGGACGGGUGAGUAAUGCUUUUGAAUCUGCCUAUUAKUGGGGGACAACAUCUCSAAAGGGAUGCUAAUACCGCAUACGUCCUACGGGAGAAAGCAGGGGAUCACUUGUGACCUUGCGCUAAUACAUGAUCCUAACUCGGAUUARCUAGUUGGUGGGGUAAAGGCCUACCAMGGCGACSAUCUGUAGCGGGUCUGAGAGGAUGAUCCGCCACACUGGGACUGAGACACGGMCCASACUCCUACGGGAGGCAGCAGUGGGGAAUAUUGGACAAUGGGGGGAACCCUGAUCCAGCCWUGCCGCGUGUGUGAAGAAGGCCUUAUGGUUGUAAGGCACUUUAAKCGAGGAGGAGGCUCUUUUGGUUAAUACCCAUKAUGAGUGGACGUUACUCUCAAAAUAAGCWCCGGCUAACUCUGUGCCMUCCCCCGCGGUAAUACUUAGGGUGCAAGCGUUAAUCGGAUUUACUGGGCGUAAAGCGCGCGUAGGCGGCCAAUUAARUCAAAUGUGAAAUCCCCGAGCUUAACUUGGGAAUUGCMUUCUAUACUGGUUG
rnacentral:rRNA from 1 species